rnacentral:tRNA from 1 species
UCUAAGAUGGCAGAUUAGUGCAAUGAAUUUAAGCUUCAUAUAUAAAGAAUACUUUUCUUAGAA